UUUCUUUCUUCUUCUUCUUUUCUUUUUUUUUUUUUGAGACAGCACCUCUCUCUUUCAACCAGGCUGGAGUGCAGUAGCAUAAUGAUAACUCACUGCAGCCUCAACCUCCCAGGAUCAAGGGAUUCUCCCACCUCAGCAUCCUGAGUAGCUAGGACUACAGGCACACGCCACCAUGGCGGGCUAAUUUUUGUUUGUUUGUUUGUUUGUUGUAGAGAUAAGGUCUCACUAUGUUGCCCACACUGGUCUCAAACUCCUGGGCCCAAACGAUCCUCCUGCUUCGGCCUCCUAAAGUGCUGGGAUUACAGGUAUAAGCCACCAUGCUCAUGCUUGGUUUUAUUUCUUGACCAGGAUAGGAGACACACAGUGUUUGUUUUAUUCUUCAUCACUUUUUUUUUUUAAGGUGCAGAGAGUCAUGGUGGGAGGCCACAUAAAACCCAGUCCUACUCUGAACUUCAGUUUCCGUAUUUUAAUAACCUGGUCAUCCUUUCUGGGAAAUACCUAGCACAAAGACUGGCUCAUGAGGAAGUGCUCAGUAAAUCUUAAGAACAUGAAUAGCCCAGUCUGCAAUCUUCACUGGGGUCCUUCACACCCUAGUCCCAGUCAGCUGAGACUGCCCCCGCCCAAGCACCACCAUACAACCAGGUCUCCCAAGUCCACCAAGCUCUAUCAUGCCCCAGGAAUUUGCACACACUGUUUACUCUUCCUAGAAUGUCUGUCCUCCCUAUCUCUACCCAGUCAGUGCCUACUUCUCCUAUUAUAAUCCAGCUCAGGCAUUCCAGCCCAUGGAAAGCAGAGGGUUCCCACAGAACCC
rnacentral:lncRNA from 10 species